UUUGUCGCACUCUGGAUUGAAGUACUGAAGCUGGCAACCAAAAUUGAUAGCUUGGUUUCGAGUACCUUCUGUACAUCAACUUCUUUUGGCCAAGCCACAAAUUUGUUGGUCCACUAGACAAGCUUGUGAUGAGAGUGGUCACACCAUACACGCCUCACGUCUUAUCUUAUAUUCAUAUGCAAGGACACAUAUGGUAUAACUUAGAUGGGAAUACAAAACAAAGAUGAAUGAUCAUACUAGAACUCAUUUUGUUCUCUAUUUGUGGCAAAAGAAGGUAAAAAAAAUGCUUAGAUAAAAAUUAAAUUACCCUUGAUCUCAGUAAGUUUGUGCCUAGAUAGUUCUGUUUCAGUUUGCAUUUUCCUAGUGAAUCUUUCUUUAAACCAUGAUAGACUGAACCUGGAAGGGUCCAUUGCACUUGUUUUUACCUGCUCUCCUGAUUCCAAUGUAAUAGGGACAUAUUGGCCAGAUUAAUGGUUGAUGUGUUGUUCACCUAAAGAGCGGCCACCAAUCAUAAGGCGAAAGAUGGUAUACUUUAACUGAAAAAUGCUGUGCUCUGUAGUGGCAGCACUGAUUUGAACUCUUUUAUUGCUUCCUGGGGCUCUGAAAAUGAUGGGACUAUUUGGCUUUUCCUAACCUAUCUGAAGCUGUGCUUGCACGAUCCAAAUUUUAUUUUGGCAAGAUAGCUAUAGUCAAUUUUUAAGUGAUGUGUUGGAUUCACUUCCAUAGAUCUUUUGACAUUGCUUUCCUGUACGUCGUUAGCAUAGACCAAACAACCAGAAAAAUCUCCUUGAAUUGUUGUUUUAAGCAAACGUCGAUUGUAUGCCACUGUUCGCCAUGAUCACUAAAACUUGUCCUGGCAUGUAAAUGAUUGAGAAUGCACGUAAGCGCCUAUCCAGCCUAGUAAGAAGAAUUGAAGUUGAGAUGUUUGUAAAGCAUGGCCACGUGUUUGCUCUUCGCCAGCAAAGUGAUGAUUAUUCGCUGCCCCUCUUCCAGGCCUGCUCAGAAGGUGCAGCACGUUGGCCGUUAUUUACACAGGUUCAAAUGUCUAUUCAGCUUCGGUGAGAUCUGUCUCCAUCUUAUCUCUUCCGGCGGCCGAGGCCCCACCCGCAGCGCCCUCUCUCUCUCUCUCUCUCUCCCGCUCGCCAUCGCCGCCUCUGCAGGCAUCACCGCACGGGAAAUCCCCAAAUCCCCGAAAUAAGAGCGCUCGAUUAAUCUCAGCAUCGAUUAACAAUCCAUGAGAAAUCCCCAAAUCCACGAAGAAUCAACUCGUCAACUCGGUAGCAAAGAAAUUCCCCGAAAAUCCCCCAAAUCCUACCUACGCCGCCGCCGCCGCCACCAGCCUUCGCGCAGCAGCGCCCCUGCCCCUGGAGCCUCUCUCGGCGACUGGGAAGUAGGGCUCGUAGGGCCUGACCUCGGCGGCGUCGCACCAGGCGAAGGAAUUAUCGCCGAAGUAAAAGACGAGGAGCUGGGCGUGGUGGCCGGUGCCGUUGACGCCGGCGGAGUAGACAGGCCGGGCCAUGCGGCGUUGUUGCGCGGCGGCGGAUCCCGAAGCGGCCGCGGGAGCACAGGACCGUGCGAGGUGGCCGGCAGCGUCUAGCGGAGAGAGCGCGAGAUGGAGGCGACGCCUCCGGCGACGAGGAGUGUGAGGUGGGGGCGGAUGCAAUCGACGGCGGGAGCGCGCGGAGCGGCCUCACCUAGCUGCAGUGGAUCCGUCUUGCGGCUGGCGGCAGCGCCGGUGGAGCAGCAGCAGCGCAUGGCCAGCGGCGGAGACGCGGCAGGCGGCAGCAGCAGCAGCGCAACGGCGGGGUGAACGGAUAAGGAAGAGAAGAAAACGUUAAAAAAAGAAGGGAGAAAAAAGAAAAGGAAGGGAAAAGAGAAGGGAGAGAAAAAGAUUAAUUACAUUCAGUAAUAUUUUUAUUUCAUAUAUGAAUUAUAUUAUAGACUGAGGAAAAAAUAAAAUUAUAUGUACAACCAAGUAUGGGGAUAUUGGAUAUUUAACAUGUUUCAUGCAUUCCCUAA